CAACAGAAACGGACAGAAGGUGACCGGCGGCUUACACAGCCGGCCGGUAGAAUAGGGAAGCGGGUGAGACUCCCGCGCGGGACCGCCGCCGUAAAGGCAGAGUUUCAGUUUAAAAGAUGUCACUGUGGGAAGCCAUGGGAAGACGAGACCGAAAUGAUGACGCCUGAGCCGGAAGACCUGCCUUUUGUUCCAUACUGCC
rnacentral:ncRNA from 2 species